GGAGGAGUCAGGUGAUAAAAACCUCCAUUGUUCCCCCCAACAACUGCAAUGACUAGAUCAACCACUAGAUGGCAAUCCUACAAGCGGUACCUUUAAGUUACACCUGAGGUUAAAAUCUAAGGAUGUGGAAAAAGUAUUUGACCUUUAGAGAAUGCACGUGCGCAAAUUUGUCGCGUCAUAGUAUGGUGUAUUACCUGAGUUGGCGGACGCGGGUUUUGUGAUGGUCGGUGAAAAACUACAGCUCGUGCUCCCAGAUCGCUGUCCACAACAGCCUCCUGCCAGACCACAAUGCUGGGUAGCUGGAAGGUUCUUGUAGACGGCGCGACUGUAUGGGAUAAAGCACAGCCCCAGCUGAAGGUGUCGAGCUAGCCGGCAGUACGCAGCCAAUGCCAGAACCAGAAGAGGAGUCACUAGCAAGAAACCCACAACCAGCAGAGCCACACAACCCCCGUCAGUCAGCAGGUCCGAGCAGUAUGGUAUAGAACCAUGUGGACGCACCUGAAAAGAGAGAGAGAGAAACAUCUGAUUGGUGUGGAGCUGUGUGGUGUGAAGGAUGAGCACAGGAAUACAUUCCUGAGGAGGACGCAAGAGAAAUGAAGGGUCCCUGAAGGAAUGAGUCUCUGACGUGUGGACAGACAGAACCGAUACACUGGACAAGAAAGUCUGCUGAAAACUCGCAUGCUCAGUUGAAGAUGAUGCCAUCAUGUGAUGAACGUGUGGUGGCGUUUGAAGACAUAAGUGGAGCACAUACCCUCUUGACAGUUUUGGAGAUUCACGUACCCAUCAUCGUCUACUUUAUGAAUCAUUGGAAUGGUCUUCUUUUUAUCAAAGGAGGAAAUCGCAUGGAUGUUUAAUGCUAACAAACUUUUUUUGCUCUUACCGUUGAAUGACAGAGAAAGCCGAACACCACCAUGACGAUAGCAGGAGUGAGGAUUAGCCCGAAGACCAGUCCAGCCAGGCAAGCAUUGAUGGCGGCGAUCAGCAGGUUUUGUGCAGUGACCAGCACCGAACAGGCCCAGCAGUCCAAAGAGCCCCGCAGCUCCAGCGGCGCUUCACUUCCGCCAGCCUCUGGGGAGUAAGGUGGAGGCACGACCACUGCAGAACCACCUACUGCAGUCCCGGCUGGCAGGGUUGAGGCCAAAGAGUUGGUAUGCUGGAGAUUGGGGUGAUGGUGCUGGUGGUGAUGACUGAUGCUUGGGAGCUCUUCAGAGAGGUCGAUGGUCUGGUGAUGAGCCCCCUUCUCCAGCGUGUCGUUCAUACUCAUCCUGAUCUGAAAAUGGUUUCAUCAUCACCACAAAGGUGCAGUGAAUCAGGUGCCAGCACCUGAUGGCGGCUUGCCGGCUUGUUUGUGAAGACAAUUUUAACUGGAAUGGAACGUUGUUCGGAGAGCCUCCUCUCUCCUGGCUUGUUUAUUUUGUGAAGUAAAAACUGUGUUGUAUUUACUCGCGAAAUUGUUGAAAGUGAAUGCUGAGUGUUGAAUUUGAGAUAUAUUCAGAGCCAGUGUGCUGAGGACAGUGCCUUUUUUGUUUUAUUACAUUUUCUCAUGUUUUUUGGUCAGGAAGGUAAGUGAAUUUUAUUAAGUUUAUUGUGCUAGUAAGGGGGUUAAAAUGUUAUUAGUUGUUUUUUUUGUUGUUGUUGUUAUUUUGGCAUUUACCUCUCCAAUUUCCUUUGAAGUUAAACGGCAAAUAAAUUUGACUUAUUUCUUUGCUCAAUCAUCUUUGUUGUUGUUUUUCCUUUUGAACAGGAGUUAAGACUCUGGGCUCCUCACUAAUUUAGAGGUAUCCUAAUUAUUUUAUUUUAAUUUGUUUUCUGGCUUGCUGUGUGGAGCCAUGCAAAGUUAGAAUUCAUAACAUUAUUCAAAUAAAAUGGUCUAUUGUUGCACAAACAUGCGAGCGUUUUAAGACUUUUCCC
rnacentral:lncRNA from 1 species